GAUGAACGCUGGCGGCGUGCCUAAUACAUGCAAGUCGAGCGAACACACGAGGAGCUUGCUCCUCUGACGUUAGCGGCGAACGGGUGAGUAACACGUGGAUAACCUACCUAUCAGACUGGGAUAACUUCGGGAAACCGGAGCUAAUACCGCAUAGUAUAUUGAACCGCAUGGUUCAAUAGUGAAAGACGGCUUUGCUUUCACUUAUAGAUUGAUCCGCAGCGCAUUAGCUAGUUGGUGAGGUAACGGCUUACCAAGGGCACGAUGCCUAACCGACCUGAGAGGGGGAUCGGCCACAUUGGGACUGAGACACGGUCCAGACUCCUACGGGAGGCAGCAGUAGGGAAUCUUCCGCAAUGGGCGAAAGCCUGACGGAGCAACGCCGCGUGAGUGAAGAAGGUUUUCGGAUCGUAAAACUCUGUUAUUAGGGAAGAACAAAUGUUUAAGUAACUAUGAGCGUCUUGACGGUAUCUAACCAGAAAGCCACGGCUAACUACGUG
rnacentral:rRNA from 1 species